rnacentral:rRNA from 1 species
CCUACGGGAGGCAGCAGUGGGGAAUAUUGCACAAUGGGGGAAACCCUGAUGCAGCCAUGCCGCGUGUGUGAAGAAGGCCUUCGGGUUGUAAAGCACUUUCAGUUGUGAGGAAAAGUUAGUAGUUAAUACCUGCUAGCCGUGACGUUAACAACAGAAGAAGCACCGGCUAACUCCGUGCCAGCAGCCGCGGUAAUACGGAGGGUGCGAGCGUUAAUCGGAAUUACUGGGCGUAAAGCGCACGCAGGCGGUUUGUUAAGCUAGAUGUGAAAGCCCCGGGCUCAACCUGGGAUGGUCAUUUAGAACUGGCAGACUAGAGUCUUGGAGAGGGGAGUGGAAUUCCAAGUGUAGCGGUGAAAUGCGUAGAUAUCUGGAGGAACAUCAGUGGCGAAGGCGACUCCCUGGCCAAAGACUGACGCUCAUGUGCGAAAGUGUGGGUAGCGAACAGGAUUAGAUACCCUGGUAGUCCACACCGUAAACGCUGUCUACUAGCUGUGUGUGUCUUUAAGACGUGCGUAGCGAAGCUAACGCGCUAAGUAGACCGCCUGGGGAGUACGGCCGCAAGGUUAAAACUCAAAUGAAUUGACGG